UACGUAGGGUGCGAGCGUUGUCCGGAAUUAUUGGGCGUAAAGAGCUCGUAGGCGGCUUGUCGCGUCGGAUGUGAAAGCCCGGGGCUUAACUCCGGGUCUGCAUUCGAUACGGGCAGGCUAGAGUUCGGUAGGGGAGAUCGGAAUUCCUGGUGUAGCGGUGAAAUGCGCAGAUAUCAGGAGGAACACCGGUGGCGAAGGCGGUUCUCUGGGCAUGAUCUGACGCUGAGGAGCGAAAGUGUGGGGAGCGAACAGG
rnacentral:rRNA from 1 species